GACGAACGCUGGCGGCGUGCUUAACACAUGCAAGUCGAACGGACUAUUUCAUUUCGGUGGGAUGGUUAGUGGCGAACGGGUGAGUAACGCGUAGACAACCUACCUCUUAGAUGGGGACAACAUCGCGAAAGCGGUGCUAAUACCGAAUGAAGUGACUUUCCUGCAUGGGAGAGAUACUAAAGGUGGCCUCUAUUUAUAAGCUACCACUGAGAGAAGGGUCUGCGUCUGAUUAGCUAGUUGGCGGGGUAACGGCCCACCAAGGCGACGAUCAGUAGCCGGUCUGAGAGGAUGAACGGCCACAUUGGGACUGAGACACGGCCCAAACUCCUACGGGAGGCAGCAGUGGGGAAUCUUGGGCAAUGGGCGCAAGCCUGACCCAGCCAUGCCGCGUGUGCGAAGAAGGCCUUCGGGUUGUAAAGCACUUUCAGUGGCGAAGAAAAGCCAGGGGCUAAUACCCCCAGGUCUUGACGUUAGCCACAGAAGAAGCACCGGCUAUCUCCGUGCCAGCAGCCGCGGUAA
rnacentral:rRNA from 1 species